UCAAAACCUUCUCCUUCCCCCAAAAAUCCAAAAUCAAAAUCCAAAACUUAGGAUGAGAAAGAAGGAAAAGCCGAUCGGAAACCAAGGAAAGGAAACUGGUACAAUGAUGAAGAAGCCAGAAUUCUUGACGGCUUGCAAGGCUGACCAGCGGUUGCACUUCAAAUCCAAGGAUUGUAUUAGUGGAAAUUCAAUUUCAUUCCAGCCAAGCUAAAUAAGGUUGCUGUAAUGUUAGCUAAUUGUGCAAGGUCUUAAGACUGUCAGUUACAGGCAUAUAAGUUGCACUUUUGGGAGAUCUAGGGUACCAUGGAAAAGAAAGAACACUGCCGGGGGCCUGAAAACAACUUUAUGUUGCUCUAACUUUAUGUUACAUCAUACAAAGAUACAAUUGUAUACAAUAAUGAAGAUUUCCAGCCAUGAGAAGUGGGAGCAUAUAAGCAUAAACAAAUUAUUUUUGUAUUUAUUUGUAUGUAAGUUUUUGAUAUUAUAUUAUUGCAAUUUUAAUGUGGAAAUUGUUA